UACAGAGGUCUCAAGCGUUGUUCGGAUUCAUUGGGCGUAAAGGGUGCGUAGGCGGCGCGGUAAGUCGGGUGUGAAAUUCGACGGCUUAACUCCGAAACUGCAUUCGAUACUGCCGUGCUUGAGGACUGGAGAGGAGACUGGAAUUUACGGUGUAGCGGUGAAAUGCGUAGAUAUCGUAAGGAAGACCAGUGGCGAAGGCGGGUCUCUGGACAGUUCCUGACGCUGAGGCACGAAGGUCAGGGGGAGCAAAACGGGG
rnacentral:rRNA from 1 species